UAUAAACUAAAACUGACCUAUAAUCACCUAAGGGCAUAUAAAUAAGUUAUCUAGUUAUAAACUUUGGUUGGGGUGACCUCGGAGAACAAAAAAACCUCCGAAUGAUUCUAAUCUUAGACACACAAGUCAAAGCAUGAUCAUUUAUUGACCCAGUAAAUUUUACUGAUCAACGGAACAAGUUACCCUAGGAAUACCAGCGCAAUCAA
rnacentral:rRNA from 1 species